ensembl:lncRNA
CCUUCAGCAGGUCUUCAGAGGAUCUUCUUCAGUGUCUCUGAGUUGUGUUGAUGAUGGACAGACAGCUGAUGGAUGGACAGUGAAGAGGACCAGAGGAGGAACAGAGGGUUCAUGGUUCCUCCUGUCUAAUGGAAGUUACUUCUGUGAGAACUCAUCUGGACAGCAGAGCGAUGAAGUGUCCAUCAGUGUUUCAGGUAGAGACAGGGAGAUGUUCCAGCUGUGUCUCUGUGCAGAUGUUUCCAGAUGUUGGAUACAUGUCUGUCAGUGAGUUGAGAGUGUGAGAUCAGUUCUAAUAUUUUGGCAGCAUGUAUUCAGACUGGUGGAUGUUGUGAGAUUUGACCUGCUUAGAUUGUCGCUGUGACAGGAGGAGGGAGAGGCAGAGAGAGGAGCGGUGACACAGCUGCUGCUUAUUUCUCCUUUAAUGGACGUCAUGUUGGAGCUGGAACAGCAGCAGAGCUCGUCAUCAGAAGGGUCAAACAGGCUGAUGAAGGUCUCUACUCUUGUGCUACUGAAGCAUUUGGACCGUCUCCUCAGAGCUUUCUGAGGGUCAGAGAUCCUCCUCAGCACAGGAGCUCAGACUCCACUCCUCCUGUGAACUCUUCUGCUGACACUGCUUCAUCACCUCCUCAGGGUCUCACCUCCUUUCUCACUGCACUCAUAGCAGGCCUGGUUCCUGUGGUUCUUCUGGUUCUGCUCUUGGUUCUAGUUCCACUUCUUUUCUACUGCAAAAAGCAAAAUGAAGCAAAUGUUGUGUCUCUAAAAUCACUGUUGUCUUUGUUGUUGGUACUGUGUUAACACACACCUGAAUGCUGCAGACCACCAAAACAGAGUGACACAGCCUGAGUGUAUCAUCACCAUCAUAGUUUAUUUAUAUAGCACUUUAAAAACACACAAGGCUGACCAAAGUACUGAACAAUAGAAACAUAAUAGAUACAAUAAGAAUAAUAAAUAGGAUAAAAUUACAAACAUAGCAAAAACAAUAAAAUGUAAGUAAAUACAAGUCAGUUAACCACUGAGUCAAAAACAAGCAAAUAAAAAUGUGUUUCUCUGGAUUUAAAAGCAGCACUGAUGUCGACUGCCUCGUGUGAAGAGGAAGAUUAUUCCAGAGGAGCCACGAUGGAGAACGCUCCGUCUCCUCAGUUUCAGCCCUGAUUUGGGGACUGAGAGCAACGACCGCUCAGCUGACCGGAGCGAACGAAGAACACGGUGAAGAACAGUUCCUGUUCUGUCAGUGACAUACAGGAAAGACAGACGAUGUCAGAGGAAACAUGGACUGGUUUAGGAGGAAGUAGCACCAGUUUAGUGUGAUGGUUUAGUCAGAGUGGGAGCUAAAAGUGAACCUAUAGACAGAGCUCAGAGGAGUGUGAUGGUCCCCAGUUCCAGAAACGGUGGCAGAGCCGAGAUUAAUAACAACUAAGAGGAUAUUUGCACAAAUGGAAGAAAGCAGUCUUACAUAUUUGUUUAAUAUGAGCGUUGAAGGACAUGUCCUGGUCAAAAAUGACUCCAAGGUUCCUCACAGCGUUACUGGAGGCCAAGGUAAUGCCAUCCAGAGUAAGAAUCUGCUUAGAUACCAUAUUUCUAAGCUUUUCAGGGCCGAGUACAAUAACCUCAGUUUUAUCUGAAUUAAGAAGCAGAAAGUUAGCGGCCAUCCAGGUCUUUAUGUCUUUAAGACAUUCCUGCAGUUUAACUCAUUGAUUGUAUGAAAUCUCCCAGAAUAGAUGGUUGGAGUGUUUUCUAAUCAUAUUGUGUUGGGGAAACAUGCACAUGUAAAACGUUCCAGCACAUCGAGCUCUGUGACCAACACUUGUGUGUUAAGAAGAACACUUGUAUAACAAUAUGGUGUGAAAUGAAAACUCUGACGUUCAACACAGCAUUGUUUCAGUCAUCAACACAUUCCUGCACUUUAGCUGAUGUGUAUCAUGUGGCUUGAUGGAAACCUUUUGAACACAAGCUCACACACACAGGUGUACACAGACACACACUGUGUCGUCCUGUGCUGCUGACAC